rnacentral:rRNA from 1 species
GUAUCAUGGCUCAGGAUGAACGCUAGCUACAGGCUUAACACAUGCAAGUCGAGGGGCAGCAUGAACUUAGCUUGCUAAGUUUGAUGGCGACCGGCGCACGGGUGAGUAACACGUAUCCAACCUGCCGAUGACUCGGGGAUAGCCUUUCGAAAGAAAGAUUAAUACCCGAUGGCAUAGUUCUUUCCGCAUGGUAGAACUAUUAAAGAAUUUCGGUCAUCGAUGGGGAUGCGUUCCAUUUAGG